rnacentral:rRNA from 1 species
UACGUAGGGGGCUAGCGUUGUCCGGAAUCAUUGGGCGUAAAGAGCGUGUAGGCGGCCCGGUAAGUCCGCUGUAAAAGUCAAAGGCUCAACCUUUGAAUGUCAGUGGAUACUGCCGGGCUAGAGUCCGGAAGAGGCGAGUGGAACUCCUGGUGUAGCGGUGGAAUGCGUUGAUAUCAGGAGGAACACCAAUGGCGAAGGCAGCUCGCUGGAACGGUACUGACGCUGAGGCGCGAAAGCGUGGGGAGCGAACAGG